rnacentral:tRNA from 1 species
GCCUGGGUGGCUCAGUCGGUUGAGCGUUCGACUUCGGCUCGGGUCAUGAUCUCGCGGUUUGUGGGUUCGAGCCCCAUGUCGGGCU